GGCGUACUGCGUCAGUAACACGUGGAUAACCUGCCCUUAGGACUGGCAUAACCCCGGGAAACUGGGGAUAAUUCCGGAUAGUUCAUGGUAGUUGGAAUGCUCCAUGAUCGAAAGCUAUUGCGCCUAAGGAUGGGUCUGCGGUCUAUCAGGUAGUAGUGGGUGUAAUGUACCUACUAGCCGACGACGGAUACGGGUUGUGGGAGCAAGAGCCCGGAGAUGGAUUCUGAGACAUGAAUCCAGGCCCUACGGGGCGCAGCAGGCGCGAAAACUUUACAAUGCGGGAAACCGCGAUAAGGGGACACCGAGUGCCAGCAUCUUAUGUUGGCUGUCCGCAUGUAUAAAUCACAUGUGUUAGCAAGGGCCGGGCAAGACCGGUGCCAGCCGCCGCGGUAACACCGGCGGCCCGAGUGGUGGCCACUAUUAUUGGGUCUAAAGGGUCCGUAGCCGGUUUGGUCAGUCUUCCGGGAAAUCUGACGGCUUAACCGUUAGGCUUUCGGGGGAUACUACCAGGCUUGGGACCGGGAGAGGUAAGAGGUACUACGGGGGUAGGAGUGAAAUCUUGUAAUCCUCGUGGGACCACCGGUGGCGAAGGCGUCUUACCAGAACGGGUCCGACGGUGAGGGACGAAAGCUGGGGGCACGAACCGGAUUAGAUACCCGGGUAGUCCCAGCCGUAAACUAUGCUCGCUAGGUGUCAGGCACGGUGCGACCGUUUCUGGUGCCGCAGGGAAGCCGUGAAGCGAGCCACCUGGGAAGUACGGUCGCAAGGCUGAAACUUAAAGGAAUUGGCGGGAAUCACUA
rnacentral:rRNA from 1 species